rnacentral:rRNA from 1 species
UACGUAGGGGGCAAGCGUUGUCCGGAAUCAUUGGGCGUAAAGAGCGUGUAGGCGGUCCGGUCAGUCGGUUGUGAAAGUCAAGGGCUCAACCCUUGAAUGCCGGCCGAUACUGCCGGGCUAGAGUCCGGAAGAGGUGAGUGGAAUUCCUGGUGUAGCGGUGAAAUGCGCAGAUAUCGGGAAGAACACCCGUGGCGAAGGCGGCUCUCUGGGACGGUACUGACGCUGAGACGCGAAAGCGUGGGGAGCGAACAGG